rnacentral:rRNA from 1 species
AACUGCAGUCGAGCGGUAGAGAGAGCUUGCUUCUCUUGAGAGCGGGGGACGGGUGAGUAAUGCCUAGGAAUCUGCCUGGUAGUGGAGGAUAACGUUCGGAAACGGACGCUAAUACCGCAUACGUCCUACGUGAGAAAGCAGGGGACCUUCGGGCCUUGCGCUAUCAGAUGAGCCUAGGUCGGAUUACCUAGUUGGUGGGGUAAUGGCUCACCAAGGCGACCAUCCGUAACUGGACUGAGAGGAUGAUCAGUCACACUGGAACUGACACACGGACCGGACUCCUACGGGAGGCAGCAGUGGAGAAUAUUGGACAAUGGCCGAAAGCCUGAUCCAGCCAUGCCGCGUGUGUGAACAAGGUCUUCGGAUUGUAAAGCACUUUAAGUUGGUAGGAAGGUCAGUUACCUAAUACGUAUCUGUUUUGCGUUACCGACAGAAUAACCACCGGCUAACUCUGUGCCAGCAGCCGCGGCAAUACAGAGGGUGCAAGCGUUAAUCGGAAUUACUGGGCGAAAGCGCGCGUAGGUGGUUUGUUAAGUUGGAUGUGAAUCCCCGGGCUCACCUGGGAACUGCCUUCAAACUGACUGACUACAGAUGGCUAGGGUGGUGGAAUUUCCUGUGUAUUCCACAAAUGCGGAGAUAUAGGAAGGAGCACCAGUGGAGCACGCGACCACCUGGACUAUCACUGACACUGAGGUGAGAAGCGUGGCGAGCAACGGGAUUAGAUACCCUGGAAUCCCGGCGUAAACGAUGCCACUAGACGAUGGAAACUUGAGCUUUUGUGCCCCACCUAACGCAUAAGUUGACGUCUGGGGACACGUCGCAGGCAAACUCAAUGAAUGACGAGGACCGCACAACGCCCGAGAUGUGGUUAUUCGAGCACGCCAGACCUUACCAGACUUACUCGAUGACUUCCGAGAUGAA